CAGAGGGCCCCAGGCGCCUAGGGAGUCGUUACCGCCCUGGCAUUCAAAUAACUCCCGCGAGAGGCGGAAAUCCCGCGAGACUGCCGACAGAGCGUAGGGAAGUGGAAAAGUGGAGCCUGCACCGCCCGCUCUCGGCACCCCCGGACACCGCCCCGGUCUCACGCAUGCGCAGAGGGCCGAUCCAGUUCUUUCCGGCUGGAAUGGGGAAUUUGUGAGGUAGGCCGGAAGUGGUGUUGCGGAGGGAACUGUGGGGAGAGCAGAGGGGCAGCUCUGCUGGAGAGACCUGAGGCUUGCAUCGCUGGGCCCGGCCGGGUCGCUGCGGCUGGGCUGGAGGUGAGGCGAAAGAAGGGCAUCCUCUGAUGGGAGUGGACCGGAGUCCGCUAAAGCGAAGCAUUCCAGGGUUCGUUGCGGGAAAUACAGUCUGGUUUUGCCCCCCGUAUGAAUUGAGGGAAGGUCAAGGAUGCAUUCCAGGAAAGUUCUAUAAAAAUAUACCAUCAACUCCAACCUGAUAUUUGACCUAGCCAUGGAAAACCUCAUUGGCUCCUCACUGGAUCAGACCAUAAAAAUGAUCCAGGAAUGAAAAUCUAAGAUAAAUUCCCACCACUUCAAGAUGUUCUUAUACAAGUCAACAGUCUAGCAGAUCAGCCAGUCUCUUUCAUCAUCAAGCAGACAUACUCAAGAAAGAGGAAUAGUGAAGUGAAAUACACAGAAGCAUGUUCAAGUUCAUCUGUUGAAUCUGGAAUUGUGAAUAGUGACAAUAUUGAGAAAAAUACUGACUCCAAUCUGCAAACUUCAACUUCAUUUGAGCCACAUUUCAAAAAGAAAAAAGUAAGUGCAAGACGUUAUAAUGAAGAUUACUUAAAAUAUGGCUUUAUCAAAUGUGAAAAACCCUUUGAAAAUGACAGACCUCAGUGUGUUAUUUGUAAUAAUAUUCUUGCGAAUGAAAGCUUAAAACCUUCGAAAUUAAAA
rnacentral:lncRNA from 1 species